rnacentral:rRNA from 1 species
AUGAGCCUCAUAAACUUCAUGGUAUAUUGUAAUACACGAAUGUUCUUCCUCAAUACCAUUGAUGCAUCCGGUCAGACUCAGAAUUCAGACUUUAUCUAUAGAGAGAUUGAGAAGGUUGUAGAAGAGAUAGGCCAUGAACAUAUUGUUCAAAUAGUAACCGAUAAUGGGUCCAACUAUAAGAAAGCUUGCAAAACCCUUAUAGAAGAGCCAAAAUACUCUCAUAUUGUUUGGCAACCGUGUGCUGCCCACACCGUCAAUCUUAUGUUAAAAGAUAUAGCCAAAUUUCCCGAGGUUGAUGUGAUAGUCAAGAGUGCCAAGACAAUCUGUAGGUUCUUGCAUAAGCACAAUAACCUACAUGAUAACAUGAAGAAGAACAUAGGUGGUGAACUAAUUAGACCAAAUGCCACCCGUUUUGGGACUGUCUUCAUGUUCCUUGAGAGUUACCAUUUGAAGAAAGAUAAAUUUAGGGAGUGGAUGGUUUCGACUGAUUGGAAGGAGUGUCAGUGGAGGUAUGAGCCUGGAUAUGUGUUUGCUGAAGAAUGUUUGUCUAGUAAUGUUUGGUGGAACACGCUAGAGUGGGUAUUGGGUUCGUUGAGGCCACUUUAUAAGGCCAUGAGGUAUGCUGAUACACAGAAACAAUGCACUCUUUCUGGAUUCAAGAAAAGUAUGAUGCUCGCUAUACAAGGGAUGGAAGCACAUCUAGGCCCUACAUCAAGGUUGUACCUUAGUUUCAUGCGCAAGGUGGGCAAGAGGAUAGAGGCAAUGGAAGAAGAUACAUUUAUGGUUGCAGCUGCUGUCCUUGAUCCAUAUACACAUUACAAGCUCAACCUUUGCAACCAUACAGAUUAUGCUACCUCACUAACAGAUGCGAUAGCGAAGAUAUUAGAUCCAAGGAGUGCUCUUUCAGCCAUUGAUGAAGUAAGUAAGUUUAGGGAGUGCCAAGGGAGGUUUGGGACCAGAUUAGCAGAAGAAGCUGCGGCGAGAAUGGAGCCAACCCAAUGGUGGUUUCAAUUUGGAGGGGAUGUUCCUGCAUUGCAGAAGUGUGCAAUGAGAAUUUGCUCACAAUGUGUCUCAUCAAGUGCGUGUGAGAGGAAUUGGAGCGCCUUUGCUUUGGUGCACACAAAGCAAAGAAAUCGUCUUUUAUAUGACAAGCUCCACAAGCUAGUUUCUGUACGCUACAACCUAAAGAUACGUGCUGAAGAAGAUCAAGAGAAAGAUAUAGAUAAUGAAGUUGAUCCAAGUGCACUGCUGAUGGACACAACAAUGUUUGAUGAAGCAAAUCCAAUAAUGGAGUGGCUGAAUGAUGAUGAAGAGGAUCCAAUUGUGGAUGGAGCUAAUGAAGCCAGUGCUGUUUUUGAGAAAAUAAGGCGUCUCAACUCAAGCAGGAAGGAUUCUUAUGUUGGUACAAGGGGUAAUAAGAAGAAAAGAAAGAGGAAUCAUGAUGAGGAGAAUGAGUAUGUCGAAACUGAGAGUGAGGAUGACGACGAAGAUAAUGAGUAUGUUGAUAAUGAGAGUGAGGAUGAUGAUGGGGUGAGUGAGGAUGAUGAGGAUGAUCAACAAGAUCAGCAAGAGACACAAAUGCAAGUGGAAGAAGAGACACAAGUACAAGCUGAAAAGAAGACAGCAGCAAGUGUUGGCAAUUUGGAGACUCGUAGAUCUGGACGACUAGUUAGGAAGAAGACCAAGGAAGUGAACAGCCUCUACUCGUAG